ACUCUGUCCUUGGUGAAGAAAGAAAUGACGGUAGCCAAGGAGGAAGCCCCGGCUAACUACGUGCCAGCAGCCGCGGUAAUACGUAGGGGGCGAGCGUUGUCCGGAUUUACUGGGCGUAAAGGGUGAGUAGGCGGUUAUAUGUGUCAGAUGUAAAAGGCUAAGGCUUAACCAUAGUUAGCAUUUGAAACUGUAUUACUUGAGUGCAGGAGAGGUAAGUGGAAUUCCUAGUGUAGCGGUGAAAUGCGUAGAUAUUAGGAGGAACACCAGUGGCAAAGGCGACUUACUGGACUGUAACUGACGCUGAGUCACGAAAGCGUGGGUAGCAAACAGGAUUAAAUACCCUGGUAGUCCACGCUGUAAACGAUGAGUGCUAGGUGUUGGGUAGCGAUACUCAGUGCCGAAGUAAACACAAUAAGCACUCCGCCUGGGGAGUACGGUCGCAAGACUGAAACUCAAAGGAA
rnacentral:rRNA from 1 species